rnacentral:rRNA from 1 species
GAUGAACGCUGGCGGCGUGCCUAAUACAUGCAAGUCGAGCGAACGGACGAGAAGCUUGCUUCUCUGAUGUUAGCGGCGGACGGGUGAGUAACACGUGGAUAACCUACCUAUAAGACUGGGAUAACUUCGGGAAACCGGAGCUAAUACCGGAUAAUAUUUUGAACCGCAUGGUUCAAAAGUGUAAGACGGUCUUGCUGUCUCUUAUAGAUGGAUCCGCGCUGCAUUAGCUAGUUGGUAAGGUAACGGCUUACCAAGGCAACGAUGCAUAGCCGACCUGAGCGGGUGAUCGGCCACACUGGAACUGGGGCACGGUCCAGACUCCUACGGGAGGCAGCGGUAGGGAAUCUUCCGCAAUGGGCGAAAGCCUGACGGAGCAACGCCGCGUGAGUGAUGAAGGUCUUCGGAUCGUAAAACUCUGUUAUUAGGGAAGAACAUAUGUGUAAGUAACUGUGCGCAUCUUGACGGUACCUAAUCAGAAAGCCACGGCUAACUCCGUG